CCUACGGGGUGCUGCAGUCGAGAAUCAUUCACAAUGGGGGAAACCCUGAUGGUGCGACGCCGCGUGGGGGAAUGAAGGUCUUCGGAUUGUAAACCCCUGUCAUGUGGGAGCAAAUUAAAAAGAUCGUACCACACGAGGAAGAGACGGCUAACUCUGUGCCAGCAGCCGCGGUAAUACAGAGGUCUCAAGCGUUGUUCGGAAUCACUGGGCGUAAAGCGUGCGUAGGCUGUUUCGUAAGUCGUGUGUGAAAGGCGCGGGCUCAACCCGCGGACGGCACAUGAUACUGCGAGACUAGAGUAAUGGAGGGGGAACCGGAAUUCUCGGUGUAGCAGUGAAAUGCGUAGAUAUCGAGAGGAACACUCGUGGCGAAGGCGGGUUCCUGGACAUUAACUGACGCUGAGGCACGAAGGCCAGGGGAGCGAAAGGGAUUAGAUACCCUGGUAGUC
rnacentral:rRNA from 1 species